rnacentral:snRNA from 1 species
AUUAUGGCGGCCAUGUUG